GUGGGCAGCCUCGUUUUCAUGAGUAAAUGAGGUAUUCAAGAUUAUACUCAUGUAUUGUCUCAAUCUGAUAUCCAUUUUGAAUGAUAUCUCUAAAACUCAUCAAGUUCCUUUCAGACUUGGAGGAGAACAUUGCUUUCUCUAAUAUAGUGUUCCUUUAGGCAGAGUUAUAGUUGCUCUUCAGGAGCCUUCAAUCAAUUUAAUUCCCAUGG
rnacentral:lncRNA from 1 species